UGUAAGUCGCUUUGGAUAAAAGCGUCAGCUAAAUGAAUAAAUGUAAAUGUGUGUCUGGUGUUUUUGUGUUUGAGCUCCGACUCUGGGCACUGACUGGGGCCCAGUGCACCAUGGGAGCAGCAGGUUUACAGGAGCGGGGCUCUCAGUGGGCCAGUCGUCACGCGAAGGGUCGGCUGAGGUGGAUUAGACCUGAUUGUUCCCUGAAAGCUCCUCAGUGUGACAUAAGCUGAUUUCAGCUCACAUAUGAUCCUUUGUUCUGGACCCGGUCCUCCGUCUGACCCGGUUUGCGUCUCGCUCAGCGUGUAAGCAGAUUUAGGUCCCAGGUCAGAGUGAAAGGAGAGUCAGGAUCCUCCCCCAUCAGUAAGGAGCCGGAGAGCCUGACGCUGCUCUGCUCGGCGCUACAGGGACAGGUUUCUAUUUUAGGGUGAAGACUGUAAAUAUUUAAACACAAAGUGUGACGCAGGGAGGAGGAAGACCUUUUUAUUGUUUCUGUUCCCAGUGGUUAAAAAUCUCCGUCUCUGUUGUGCUUAAAGUCCCCAGAGAAAAAAAGGCGUUUUAAACUCCAGAUUAACACGAACAAGAGAAACACGCAGGUUUGAUGAGGAUCCUUGAAUAUGGCUCUCAAAGAGUAGCGACCCGGAUAUGUAGGCCGUCUGCAGAGGGACAUUUUACAGUAAAGUUCGAUCCAGGUUUUGAAUUUGUUUAAGACACCAAAACACUGCAGAGGCCGGUUCAUGACGGCAAUUAUUUUAUCUUUCAAAUAGCGAAACAGUAAUCACACAUAAUCACAAAACUUUCCUUGUUAACAAAAUAUCAAAUGUUUGAUUUAAUUCUUUUAAAUCACAAACGUUAAGAUAUUUAUUUUGUUGAGGAAAAAGAGACUGAAAACAGAUUUUAUUUAAUUUUACUUAUCUAUUGUUGUUGAAAACAGAUUUGCAGAAGUGACCGUCUGGUUUCAAAAAUCAGCCUUUAAACCUGAAAGAAAUAAUGAUUUGACAUUUAUCCUGAUAUUUAUCGAUAUCGACUGAUUAACAGUUUAGGACAUAUCACCCAGCCCUAGUUUCAGAUGUCUUGUUUUGAGACAUUUGAAAAGCUGGAGCAUCAACACUUUUACGAAAAGAGUUGCAGAUUAAUUUUUGUAUAAUAAUCUGCACUUUUUAGCCUAAAUAAGACGUUAGCAGUGUAAACCUACGAGCCUGGUUGGCUUGUGCCCAACAACCCUGGAAGCUCACAUCUGAGCCUCACAAUAGACCAGGAAGUGAGGUGGGAUGUCUGAGCUGUUUGGAAACAGGUUGUGAAUGGAGCAGACUUCUACAGAUUCUUUCCAAACAUCCCAGUGGGAGUUUCCUGGAGACGGAGAAGUGGCUCGGCCCUUUUAUGGCCGUGGGUGAGAGGCGGUCAGGCGGAGAGGAGGGAGUUCAGCCGAGCUGAGCAGGAAUGUAAAUGACUCCUCUGCUCGUACCUGCUGCUGGUGUUUGAGGAGGGGGGGGGCACAUUCCUGCUCCUUGAUGUCAGGUUACUGUGACACUCCUCUCAGUCACAGUCAGGAGGAGGAGGAGCCAUCAGGCUUUGACCUAAUUCAGGACGCACAGCUGGAGGUUUGAGCCGUCAGCUGCUUCCACUGAUGAAAAACACAUCUGAUUUCCAGCAGCAGAACAUCUGCCGACAGGAAAAGAGUUCGUUUUCACCAAGUGGCUGAAAAAUGAAGCCGACGAGGGAGUCGGGGUGAAGUUUAAUAAAACUCAGCUGUUUCAUUUAUAUUAAGGCUCAAAGUUCUGUGUAAUUAAGAACGUGGCUGCUUUGAGUGACAGGUGGGUCACUGGCCAGAUGGCGACGGCGGGAGACGCCCACGCAGAGGCUCCAUCCACACGAGUAGGUUUCACGUUAGAACUUUCCCUCCCUUACAGACUAAAUCUGCAGCGAAUCUGAACACCUAAAACACUGAAGUCUGGAAACGCCGCAGGGCCCGUUUUGGUUUUAAACUCCGAGGCAGCGUGUUAAUGCCGACACGUGAACAUGUUUGGCUUCCUGAUUGGCUCUUACCAGUCACGAUGCUGCUGACAGUUUUAGGUUUGUUGUUUUUAUUGUAUUUAUUUGUUGUAUUCUGCGCUGUGUAAGUAACACUUCCACACUUCACUGUGCAUGUCGCCGUAAUGUUGUUGCCACUACCGCCCAAACCAAGACCAAGACCGGUUCCCCACAUUACAUGACACAUGAUAAAAUGUUUUUUGUCUUUUAAUGACCUCUCCUCGCCGUGUCUUCUUCUUCUGUGGUGGUUUAACAGCAGCCACUGCAGAAUCUUCUCCUCUAGCUGUUUAUCUUGAGGAACCAGCUCCUAAUAUUUACACAACAGUAGUGGGUGCAAAUGUGAUUUAAUUUGCAUUUUCUUUUACCCGAGUAUCUUGAAAUUAGGUUAAAAUAUGCAGCUAGAAACCAAACCAGUGUCUGUAGCUCUGAGGGCGGCUCUGAGCGUAUCUGGCUCCAGUCCAGCAGAGACGGAUCGAUGCUCCUAAUGGUUUAAGUGCUGCUGGAGCAGAAAGCCGGGCGUGUGAGCGGCGUCUAAUGCUGCUGUGGUUUAUUCCAUUAGAAACAAAGCUGCUUCUUAUCUUGUUAGUUUAGCAGGGAGCAAACACGGCAGCGUUCAGCGUUGGACGUUUCUCACGCCAUGACUCUCCUGCUUCAUCUGUAACAACCAGCUCUGCUGGACUGAGCGACACACUGACAGGAUCGUGAGGCUUUACUGAUGUCUUAGGAUCGCAGGUGAGCUGCUGAGCCAGCCGCGGCCCGACGGUCUGACCGAGGUCAUCUGCCCAAAGAACGGCUCGGAGCGGGUCAACGUGGCCCUGGUUUACCCCCCGACGCCCACCGCGCUCAGCCCCUGUCUCAAGUGAUCCGAGGGCCGGCUCGUCUCGCCGCUGCACCACCAGAGCCUGCACCUCCACCUGUGACUGUCCACGCCUCCCUCAUCAGCCUGCUUCACCCCCGCCCCCCCCAGCUGAAGGCAGCUGACCGGAUCCCUGCUUCACACGACGUUGGCGCCUGACGUCUCCUCACGAGACAUCGAACAGUUUUUAAGGAGCGUGACGACCACAAACUUCACCGUAGCAUCAAGCGUGGCCUGCUGCCUUCACUGACCCUCCACCAGAAUCUCCUGCCUCCUACUUUUUAAAUCUGAAAAACAGCAGCUGAAAAGGUGACGGACUCUAAAGGAGAAUAAUUUUUAACACUUACUGAGGAACUUGUUCAAAUGUGGGCCAGGAGACGACUCUGAGGACUGAAGUAUUCUGCAAUAUCUUGACGUGUUGGACCUGAGGACGGCCCUGAAGGGAGCGGGACUGUGUGCUGGUGUAGAUAUUUCUCUGUGAGGACAUGUUGAGGCAGAACGAAGUGUGGGGCUGUCGCUGUGUCACUAGCUUGCUUUAAAUUUUCUGGAACUAACAGGAUGUUCUUAAACGCACCGCCAGAGGUCACUGAACCUGCUGCACACCUGGUUUCACGUCUGUACAGUGAGCUGCAGCCGGUUAGCUUAGCUUAGCAUAAAGACCGGAAACAGGGGGAAACAGCUAGCCUGGCUCGGUCCAAAGGAAACCAGGUCCACCUUCCGGCUCGUCUAAAGCUCCCAGACCAACCUGAGAGUUUGGUGUCUAAAUCAGAGCUAAGCUAGUCAGAUGCUAAGUGACACAGCUGCAGCUCCAUCAUGUCUGCGGUUCACACCAAACUCUAUAAUGCCGGUUUCACACACAACAAGAAUUAUAAAUUCCCAUCGCGUUUAUUGCGUGAGUUUGACGAGUGACAACGCUACAAAACACAAUGAGCCAUUAGUUCAGCUGUGUGAACCCAAAAUAAUGAUUUAGCUGUGAUUUAGUUUCAAUAAACGGAUCAAAAUGAAGCUGAAUUAACGACAUCAUGAUGCCGAUUUGUUAAAAAUAUGAAGUCAUGCUUUGUCUGGACUGGUCAACAUGACAAACUAACAACUUUUAAAAUGCCUGUUUUCUGAAUGGAGUUUGGAUCAAUCAGGGCUAUUUGUUUCAUAGCAGCUGUAAUCGAGUAACAGACAUAUUUUCUGAGCUUACCUGGUAGUUCAUCUUCCUCGCUUAUUUUGUCGUCCCAUCUGUAUAAACAUGAAGUCGUCCUAACACAACAGAUGAGAAGCGCGAGUGAAGAUUUUUAAUCCAAAACAUUAUGAGUAAAAAGUUGAGAUUUCAGCUCACACCAGGGAGCGUCGCCUGUGAUGCUCCACAUGGUGGCGCACUUCACGUUGCCUCCAGCGCGUCCCGUGUGUCGCCCGGCAGGAAAUCGCACCGCGUUGCGUGUGAAACCGGCGUUAACGCGACGGCAGCAGUCAGAAAAGCCUCUUCCUGCUCAGAGGUCGGGUUCAGCAGGAGACGGCGUGACGUUAACUGGCGAGCUUGUUAAUCCGAGGAGGUCGGCGGGAUCUGUACAGAUAUUUAUCGACACCGUCUCCCCCGACCCCGACCACAGAGUUUCAUUUCAUCAGACUGUUUCAAGCAAAAGGUCUUUGUUUCAUUCUGGAUGUUUUUCACUGUUAAAGUCGACGUGUGUUUGGAGGGAGAUGUAAAUAAUAUCUUUAUUUUUGUAUGUGGACUCGAGCUUUGACUUUAUUUCCAGUGGAUGUUGUGCAUGACUCACUGUGAGAGCACACAGGGUUUUAUAUGUAGCUGGUUCCAGCCUCUCACGGAGCAACAUGAAGUACCAAAUACAAAUAAACCGGCUGAAGUACCACGCAGCGCUGUGUUGUUUAUUACCAGUACCACACAAGUAGGCUACAUGAAGAGUGUCUGUGGGUGAAACUCUACUCCUGAGCAUUAAUAAGUAGUAUACGCAGUACAUAAUGCAGAGUACUUUCAUGUGUAUUAAUGUAUUUGUCAACAACUUCUCCUGUGAAGCAUCUGUGUAUAAAAUAAGGCUGCAAC